GAGUUUGAUCCUGGCUCAGAAUGAACGCUGGCGGCAUGCCUAACACAUGCAAGUCGAACGAAGGCUUCGGCCUUAGUGGCGCACGGGUGCGUAACGCGUGGGAAUCUGCCCUCAGGUUCGGAAUAACAGCGAGAAAUUGCUGCUAAUACCGGAUGAUAUCGCGAGAUCAAAGAUUUAUCGCCUGAGGAUGAGCCCGCGUAGGAUUAGCUAGUUGGUGUGGUAAAGGCGCACCAAGGCGACGAUCCUUAGCUGGUCUGAGAGGAUGAUCAGCCACACUGGGACUGAGACACGGCCCAGACUCCUACGGGAGGCAGCAGUGGGGAAUAUUGGACAAUGGGCGAAAGCCUGAUCCAGCAAUGCCGCGUGAGUGAUGAAGGCCUUAGGGUUGUAAAGCUCUUUUACCCGGGAUGAUAAUGACAGUACCGGGAGAAUAAGCUCCGGCUAACUCCGUGCCAGCAGCCGCGGUAAUACGGAGGGAGCUAGCGUUAUUCGGAAUUACUGGGCGUAAAGCGCACGUAGGCGGCUUUGUAAGUUAGAGGUGAAAGCCUGGAGCUCAAUCCAGAAUUGGCCUUUAAGACUGGCAUCGGUUUGAAUUCCAGGAG
rnacentral:rRNA from 1 species